UACGGGCUUCAAAGGCACAACUCACUAGACGGAGUCACAGAGACAGAGCUAUCGUAAAACUGUUGAUCUCGACUGUACCUCCAUUUCGGAACCAAGUCGGGAAACCAUAAAAUUUCUUGUAUUAUCUAAGUAGAGUCUGGAUCUUUCAUAGUUCAUAUACUUCGAGAGGUUAGAACUGUUGUAUGAACAUAAAAAAGGAGUCUAGCCGGACAUAGUCACGGCGUAGAUCUGGGAGAAUGAAAGAAGAAAACAAAGUAAAAAG
rnacentral:lncRNA from 1 species